UUAAAUUGAAGAGUUUGAUCAUGGCUCAGAUUGAACGCUGGCGGCAGGCCUAACACAUGCAAGUCGAACGGUAACAGGAAGAAGCUUGCUUCUUUGCUGACGAGUGGCGGACGGGUGAGUAAUGUCUGGGAAACUGCCUGAUGGAGGGGGAUAACUACUGGAAACGGUAGCU
rnacentral:rRNA from 4 species